CAGGUGGGGCUGAGCUGUCCAGCUGUCCCCCAAGAGUGAAGCCUGGGACCUGCCAGCCCCUGCUCCAGCUUUCCUGGACCCACGACAGCAGAGGAUAUCGUGGUGACAAGAAAGAGCCUUCUGCCCAUUUAGGAAGGCAAACUCCCUACUUUGCUCCCUGAGGUCCACACACAGAUUUGUACCAGAUCUGUCUGAAGCAUGGGGUAUGUGGAAACUCCCAAACUCCAUUCUGAAGAAGUUGAUUUGCUUCUUCCAUGGAGAAGUGAGAGGGCCAGGCAAGUGGAGAUGCUGAGCAGGUAAUUCUAGAGGGUGGGACAGGGAGGGUGGAGAGAAGCCUUGAGUUAGGAAAUUAAAGAAGCAGAUCAUGAGCAGAAGGACCUUGGUUAUAACACUGAGAACUGGGGGCUGGUGGCACUUGAAUUUGCAUAUGAAUUUGCUCAGUAAGAAUGACUAAUCUCUGCUCUAUAGAGCAUCAGCUGUGAGAAUUCACUUCCAAGACAGCUCGUUCACAUGGCUCACAAGUUGGUGAUGACUGUCAUCUAGUUUCAACUGGAGCUAUGAUCUGAGAGCUUCAGUUAUUCUCCACGUGGGCCUUGCACAUGGAACUGCUUGAGUGCUCUCAUUGCCAUGGUGACUGAUUUCCAGGAGUGAAUAUUCCAAAGUGUGGAAACUGGAAAUGCUGUCUGCUUAAGUCAGGGCCUAGAAAAGGGAAUGUAGCACCUCUACCAUAUACCAUUCGUCAAGCAGUCACAGAACCUGACCUCGUCCUCAUCCUCUCAAUGAAAAAAUGUUAAAACUUUGAGACCUUGUUUAAUCUAUCACAAUGAGAAUGGAUUGAGUCAAAACAAUUAAGAAAUAUGAUCAAUUACAAUAUUGCAUUAAUUUCAGAUCUACAGCAUAGUGAUUUAAUUUUCUGCAGAAUAUAUUUCAUUAAAGGUUAUU